rnacentral:rRNA from 1 species
ACAGAGAGUGCAAACGUUGUUCGGAAUCACUGGGCUUAAAGCGUGCGUAGGCGGCAUUGUAAGUGUCAGGUGAAAUCCCACGGCUCACCCGUGGAACUGCCCGGCAUACUGCGAUGCUCGAGUGUGGUAGGGGAGAGCGGAACUCCUGGUGGAGCGGUGAAAUGCGUGGAUAUCAGGAGGAACAGCGGUGGCGAAGGCGGCUCUCUGGUCCACAACUGACGCUGAGGUACGAUAGCUAGGGGAGCAAACGGGAUUAGAUACCCCAGUAGUCCUAGCUGUAAACGAUGGGCACUAGCUUGGGGUCUCCCUGUGUGAUCUCAGGUGAAGAAAAAAUGAUAAGUGCCCCGCCUGGGGAGUAUGGUCGCAAGGCUG